rnacentral:lncRNA from 1 species
UCGGUCAUGGCGUCAAAUCAAAAUUAUCUGGUAACAACCGUUCAUUGAUUAUUAGCGACAUAAUCCACUCUGACCCAUAUUUCACCAAUCAAAUAUUGGGUCUUGCUCUCAAAAGUUCUUGCUUAUACGUUAUUCGUUUUUCUUUAGUUUGUCCUGAUUUUCCCUUUCCAUUUCUCAUUGGGAGCAAAGUAUCUGUCUGGGAGACCAACAAACCCAUUCGUCAUUGGCCCUCUCCCUCAUUUGAAAAUCAGGAUUGGUUUGAUCGAAUGAGAUCAAGCUAUGCUACCCAUGGAGGUCUUCCGAGAUUUAUGAUAUUCUUCAUCUUUUCCAUUUUGAAUUGGUAGUUGAUAAGUCUCUUCUUCUUUCGGCUUCUGUCUUUUGGUUGAAAACAACCAAUGUUUUUUUUCCUUCAAGUUUGCCUCAAUGAUGCUUACCAUUUUAGACCUCGUCGCGGUCUUCCAACAGGUGAGGAAGUGUCUUCUCAUUUUUUGGCCACCAUUGACAUCUCUUUCUCUUUUGAUGAGAAUGUGAUAUCCUAUAAAUAGUGGAUCGUGAUCCAUAAAGGGAGUACUCCAAACCGCAGUGAAGAAGAACACAUAGCUUAUCUUCUGUAUUGAUUAUAUCAUUUCUUGUAUUAUGUUUCAUCCGGCCAACAGGAAUCAUCCUUUUCCCA